UUUAUUUAUUAUGUAUGUAACUUAAAAUCAUUGGAAUAAUGAUUUUUGCAUUAACAUUAAUGUACGUGCCAAAUAAUACGUGUACCGGAAAUGACGUUUACAAAAUGGGGCACGCGGUUGGUUAGAAUUAACCGCAGUACAUUUUCGUACGCUAUUGAUUAUUUCCUGUAAAUGAAGAAUUUUAAUAUAAUGUACAAAAUAUAUAAAAUUUAGCAUUAAAAUUGUCGCACAUAUAUUUAAAAAUUAAUUGGAUUAAAGUAUUUUUCAAAAAUUCUAAGAAUGUAAGGUCGACGUAAGAUUUUACACAGAACUAGUUUCCAUUUUCGCGCGUAAGACUACGUCAUAAAGACAGGGGUGGGGGUAUAGAAAGCGGAUUUUAGACGAGCAGCGUAGGCUUCCUUCAGUCAUCUUACGACUUUGCUGUGAGGAGGGUGUUUUGCUCGGUGGUUUCAAAUCCUUUGUGUGCAGUUGUGUGAAUCUCUUCUGUUUUGUUCUACGACAAACACUAGCCGGAUACAAUCUCACCGUUCGAGAUGGCAUUGGGACAAGCGGAGGGAGUUGGUGUUCGCAACGAUGCUGAAACGUACCGCACGCUCGGGGACCCCAUGUUCUCCAAUCUCUGCGCCUUUCAUUGGUUUGGUUUAUAUAUUAUAUUAUAUGUAUUGGUUUGGUAAUAUACGUAAUAAUGAGCGUUCGAAAUAUGUUCGAAGAGUGUUCGAUUCGAUAUUUUUUAUUUUCAGAAAUAUAUACUUUGUAUGUCUUAUAGUUUAAAGAAAAUUUGUAUAGUACAUUUUAGCUUGUAGAUUUAGUAGUAUCGUUUAAAAUAUUCGCUCUAUUAUUCUGAACGUCAAGAUUUUGUAUAUUUGCUUAAUGUUGAUUAACAGUUUCGUAGACUUUAAGAAAUAAAAUGAAAUUAAUAAAAUUUGGAAAAUGUUUACAAUUUUUCUGCAAUCUUCUAGUUCAUAUUAAUGCCAAAAAUGCUUUUCUGCCCAGCACACUACACAUAACAAAAUUCUGUCGCAGGCAAGAGACCCGUACAUGUACCCAGGCUGUUGGCCGUCAUCGGCAAUAUUAUUUGGCCUGUCUGUGUAUGAGAUAAGGAACGACGAGAGAGGAUUGGUACGGGAUAAAGAAGGGACGGAAAGUCUUUGUUUUUAGAAAAUCGUACAUGAAGUUUUCUGGCUGACGAAUGGAUUGCACCAUGAUCAAGUUGUACAUAAACGUCUCAUCACUCCGCGCUUCCGUAUCUUGAACAUCCAAGCAUCAACUAAUUCGAAAAUCGUCUGACGCGCGAUACUCAUAGGCUUAUUGUGACGAACUACAGCAAAUUGUAGCAAAUCUUAUUUGGUGAGCUCUAAUCCCUUUUGUUCGUUAUCUGUGCAAAUGUGUUUUCUCAUGUCCGGAAAAGUUUUUUCAUAGCUUGUACCACCAGGUUGUAUGCGAGUUGUCGAAGCACACAAGGCAAGCCUCCGGUGAAUAUCAAUAAGGAGAGACAGCGCUAGGGGUAAUGGCCCCCCCUAACGCCAAUUCAAUAGUCAGGAAAUAUUAGGACUGGCUAGAACAAGAGAACGCGUGAAGGGGGUGCAACUGAAGUUAAUUCAUAAGAGGAUCCUGGAGCACCCCUGUCAUACGCGUAGGGUGGUCAUCGUGGAGUUUUAGUCGGUAAGAGUCCGACACUACUCUGCUGUUACGCAAUUACUGCAACAGCAGAGUGUCCAUGAGGAUUUCUCCACGUAAAAAAAAAAAAAAAAAAAAAAAAAAAAAAAAAUAUGGUUGUAUGCGAGUUACUCUGGCUUAUUAAUAUUCCUUGUUCAAAGUUGACCAAGCUGAUAAUAAGAGCUUUUUGAGGUAUGGAGUAAAUUGAAUGCAUCUUUGUUGAGUCUAGAUGAUCCAGAAUGGCGAACUACCGCAAGUAGAGCAACUAAUCGAAAUAAUAGACAUGCACAUAUACGUAAUAUGUUUAAUAUGGAUAGGAAAUUGUUUUGAAAUUUAACAAUCAUUGCAAUAAUUACGUCGGUUUGGAAGUCGUAUUACUAGAUACUUAUUUUCACAGAUUUCAAUUCACUUAUCCAUUGAUUGAUGUUGGGACAAAUGAGGAACUUCGCAUGUUAUUAGAUUAACAAAUAAAAUGUAUUGUUCCUGAUAAAUGGUACGCAGAAUAGUAAUGGAAAUAAAAGACUGGUUUAUAUUACAGUUCAAGUGACUGAUAAUAGGAAAGCAGUGAUGGGAAAAUGAGGCAACGUAUUAUAAAAUUGAAUCCCUAAGUAUAGCAUGUAGAUAAUAUUUUGAGUGUUGACGAAGGACAAAAUUAUGCACAUUCCUUUUCCAAUUCCAAGGAAAUACAUCAUUGAUGAGUCAGUUGUCAAAACACGAUGGAAAUUGCUCAUUGUUAAUUGAACAAGUUUGAUAUAAUUACACAAGCUAAAGAUUUAACUUGAAAUUUGUUUGAAGAAAUUUAUUUUUGCUUAUAUCUGAUGUCAAGCGCGGUAUUAAGUAUUACGCUUUUAUAACUAUUGUUUUAAAUAUUUUUGCGUUGAAAUAUUGUCGUUUGGGUGUCUGUUUUGUACUGCAAGAGUACCCGAAAUAAUUAUACUCGUCAUGUACAGCUAAACAACUACAGGCAGUUGAUCCUAUUCCUGGAACGCGUUGGAUUCGUGUUUACAUGGUACGUUGAUUGGAAUCACUUAGAGACGGAUUACUGGGGGUAUGAGUAAUUAUGUUUCAGCCAGGCUUGGAUAGAGAACGCGUUUAAUCGACGUUUAAAGGUCCGCUUAAAAUACACAUGCUCUGGUAGUUUCUAAUUGGAUCGUUAUAGAUGUCGUAUACUUUCUGCUAAAUCCGUUUUUGGGAGACAUUAAGAUGAAAAAGGUCGUAUUUUUAAAGAGGGGGAGAGAGGUGGUAUGCUUUGGAUAAAGGUAACAAUUUUAUAUGAAGGAUGAUUAUUGUAAACAUUGAAUAUAAUUGGGGAAAAUUGAGAAACUGGUGCAACUUGUCGUAUUAUGAGCUACAGGUCUGGUGCUGUGUCUAUCUCUUAUCACUUUAAUACAAUGGAUGAGACAUUUGUAUGGCGUUUUUUGAUAAUGGAAAACGUGUUCGUGCUGUAUGUUUUGCA